UGCCAGACUCCUACGGGAGGCAGCAGUGAGGAAUAUUGGUCAAUGGCCGUAAGGCUGAACCAGCCAAGUAGCGUGAGGGAAGACUGCCCUAUGGGUUGUAAACCUCUUUUAUGCGGGGAUAAAGGUGUCCACGUGUGGAUGUUUGCAGGUACCGCAUGAAUAAGGACCGGCUAACUCCGUGCCAGCAGCCGCGGUAAUACGGAGGAUGCGAGCGUUAUCCGGAUUUAUUGGGUUUAAAGGGUGCGUAGGCGGAUUGUUAGGUAGGGGGUAAACGCCGGGGGCUCACCCCCGGCGAGCCGUUGAAACUGGCUGUCUUGAGAUGUCGAGAGGUAUGCGGAAUGCGCAGUGUAGCGGUGAAAUGCUUAGAUAUUGCGCAGAACUCCGAUUGCGAAGGCAGCAUACCGGCGGCGAUCUGACGCUGAGGCACGAAAGCGUGGGUAUCGAACAGGAUUAGAUACCCCUGU
rnacentral:rRNA from 1 species